rnacentral:hammerhead_ribozyme from 1 species
AUCCAACUGAUGAGUCCCAAAUAGAAGAAAAUGGGCGUCCUGGAU